rnacentral:rRNA from 1 species
UCGGGAAUUUUGGGCAAUGGGCGAAAGCCUGACCCAGCAACGCCGCGUGAAGGAUGAAGUAUUUCGGUAUGUAAACUUCGAAAGAAUAGGAAGAAUAAAUGACGGUACUAUUUAUAAGGUCCGGCUAACUACGUGCCAGCAGCCGCGGUAAUACGUAGGGACCAAGCGUUGUUCGGAUUUAUUGGGCGUAAAGGGCGCGUAGGCGGCAAUUCAAGUCAUCUGUGAAAUCUCCGGGCUUAACUCGGAACGGUCAGAUGAUACUGCUUUGCUAGAGUGCAGAAGGGGCAAUCGGAAUUCUUGGUGUAGCGGUGAAAUGCGUAGAUAUCAAGAGGAACACCUGAGGUGAAGACGGGUUGCUGGGCUGACACUGACGCUGAGGCGCGAAAGCCAGGGGAGCAAACGGGAUUAGAUACCCACGUAGUCCCUGAGCGGGCUGGCAAG